rnacentral:rRNA from 1 species
GAUGAACGCUGGCGGCGUGCCUAAUACAUGCAAGUCGAGCGAACAGACGAGGAGCUUGCUCCUCUGACGUUAGCGGCGGACGGGUGAGUAACACGUGGAUAACCUACCUAUAAGACUGGGAUAACUUCGGGAAACCGGAGCUAAUACCGGAUAAUAUAUUGAACCGCAUGGUUCAAUAGUGAAAUACGGUUUUGCUGUCACUUAUAGAUGGAUCCGCGCCGCAUUAGCUAGUUGGUAAGGUAACGGCUUACCAAGGCGACGAUGCGUAGCCGACCUGAGAGGGUGAUCGGCCACACUGGAACUGGGCCACGGUCCAGACUACUACGGGAGGCAGCAGUAGGGAAUCUUCCGCAAUGGGCGAAAGCCUGACGGAGCAACGCCGCGUGAGUGAUGAAGGUCUUCGGAUCGUAAAACUCUGUUAUUAGGGAAGAACAAAUGUGUAAGUAACUAUGCACGUCUUGACGGUACCUAAUCAGAAAGCCACGGCUAACUACGUG